AUCUCUGUAGAGUCUGCAUAUCAAUAAGCGGAGGAAAAGAAACUAACAAGGAUUCCCUUAGUAACGGCGAGUGAAGCGGGAAGAGCUCAAAUUUGAAAUCUUCAAGGUUUUACCUUGACGAAUUGUAGUUUAAAGAAGUGUUUUCUGUUGAAGUUUCGGUAAAAGUUCUUUGGAAUAGGACAUCAUAGAGGGUGAGAAUCCCGUAUUUGACCGUUAUUUUCAGCUGUGUGAUACACUUUCAAAGAGUCGGAUUGUUUGGGAAUGCAGGUCCAAAAUGGGUGGUAAAUUUCAUCUAAAGCUAAAUAUUGGCGAGAGACCGAUAGCGAACAAGUACCGUGAGGGAAAGAUGAAAAGAACUUUGAAAAGAGAGUUAAACAGUACGUGAAAUUGUCAAAAGGGAAGCGUUUGACACCAGUGUUGUUUUCUCGAAAAUCAAUUAAAAAUGGCUUGAUUUUGUGUUGUAUUGACCUUAAAAGCUUUCUUCACUUUUUUCAUGUCUUUUUUAAUGCACUUUUCGUUUAACAAGUCAACAUCAGUUUCUUUUGUUGUAAAAAGGUCAUUGGAAGGUGGCUUUCUUUUCGGAGAAAGUGUUUAUAGCCUUUGACUUCUGCAAUCGGAGAGACUGAGGUCUGCAGCGUAGAUCCUUCUGGAUUAGAUUCAUUUGUGCUAAGUUACAACCGUUUAUAGACAACUUGUUGACUAUAUUCGAUCCUGUAGCUUACUCGCUUAUGUAAUUUUACCUACGCUUAGGAUGUUGAUAUGCAUGACUGAUAU
rnacentral:rRNA from 1 species